UGGUUUAAGUAAUUGUAUGUGUAAGUAUAUGUGACAGGCUCUGGGAAAACCAGACAUUUGGAGCAGACUAAAAUUUCGUUGAUUAAUGUACCAAGUGAUAGAGCAGAGCAUUGCCUACAUAAUGAUAUGCUUAGUGUUCACAUACCUAGUUUCAUACCCGAGUUAUGCUUGUUAGAAACUUGAAGCCGUAAAAUGUAGUAUCGAGAAAAACGCCUCUCAAAGAUUGCUCAAUUAGGAAAAAUAAGGUAAUAGCCAAAGUUUGGAUGAGGCGCUUCGAUGGAAAGAGUUGGAUUUAGAGCAUCAGAUUUUACAGAGAGGUAGUAGAAGGACUAUAGAUACUUAUACACCAAUAACAUUUUAUUUGAGAUUUUACACUGUAGGCACAAAUUUAGCUAUAGCUCAAUACCAAAUUCUGUGUUUUUACAGUCAGAAGUAUGUACAAAGCUCUUGUUGAUGACAAGGAGGACUUUUCAGGAUUUGAUACGGACGUAUGUGUAUCGUUUAUUGAUGCUCAAAAUGCGGAUGUCCUGAAAACUAAGAAGUAACGGCUGCAAACGCAUUGUUUCAAGCUAGCCACAUUCGUGGUAAGUGAUAAUACUUACUAUAAGCUGCUUUGAUAACUUCUCACUAGUGCCUAUAAGAAGCUUCAAUUACCGUUAAUCAAACGCGAGCUGGAGUACAUUCCAGAGUGUAUCUGGAGAAUUUCCGCCCACUGUAUCCUGUUAUCUAUUUAGAGGAUGUCAAUAGUAAUAUUCAAAGGUUGUUUUACAAUGUGCAAGAGCGUAUAUAGCUGCUAUGAUUCCAAAGUUACAAACGCCUGAAGUCUCCUAGUUUUUGUGGCUGCCACUUUGUAAACAGUAAUAAGUCUACUCAGUCUAAGGCGCUCCUAACUUUGGAAUCGUAGCUCUUGCACAUUGUAAGAAUAUUACUAUUUACAUCCUCUAUAUAGAUAACAGUGGGCGGCUAUGCAACGCUCAAGAUCAAGCAGCUUUAAUAAUUAUACUCUGGAAUGUAUUAUACUCUGGAAUGUACUCCAGCUGUGAGUAAUUAACCCGAGGCGCAUCACGGGUUAUAGUAGUCGGUCGUCCUGGUAGGUCCAUGUUCAUCUGGUAGCAGGUAUCCCUCUGUCAUCACCAGAGGAGACAUCGCCCUCAAGCUGUUCAAGCACAUCGGCACAAGUAAACAACCUAGCCAUAGCUUCGUGUGGUAAGACAUAGCAACGUGGCUUGGAAAAUUCUAGACUAAAUUGCACGUGAUUCUACAGCUCUUCCUCUAUACAGGGAUGUGCCUAGGUAUCGCGAAAUUGAAAUUCGCGAAAAAAAGUCACUUAUUGCGGGCCACGAUCGUGGCCCGUGGCGUUUAAAGGGUUAAUAUGAAAUUGAUAUACAUGUACUUUUACACCUUUUGCUUUCUGUUGUAAUAUACACCCACCAAUUUUUACUUUGUUUACACCCUAGUGCAUGUUCUAUACACCUCAAACAAGUGACUACACCCUCGAAUGAGACGAGUGGCAGGAGAAUUGAGAAUUGGAGUGUAUUGCUUUGAAGUACAAGCAAAAACCAUGGCAUAAUUAUAUGUACAGUAUUGUAGGACUUGAAGUGGCUCAACUAUGACAUGUGAGCCUACACGUGUUAUUCAGCUAGUUGCCUUUCAUUCACUGACCUAGCUAGAUAAUGUCUACUCCUAUUUCUACUCUUGCUCCAUUGGAACUGGAAUACAUGACUGUCGUUGAUCGUUGACCAUUACUUAAAAGAUUUGGAUGGGCGUAUCAAGUAUGGCUUGGGUACAUCUCUGGGAUCUUAGAGUGGCUUAAAGAUGGCACAAUAUUUUACGUUCAUUGUGCAUCCAAGAGACCACAUGUCUGUUCAGUACUUCCCCACCAUUCCCCACCAUUGCAGAAGACGCCAACGGUAUGUUUAAAUACAAUCUGUGUUUAGUGCUGCUUAUAAUUACACUCACCACCCCGAAAAAGGCGUACUACUUACUAACUUUUAGCAACUAAACUCGUAACAUCACUUCAUUAUAAUUAUAGUUACAUAAAAACGAUAGUUACAUAAAAACGAGUAUUCAGUAUAGCCAAUUAUAAUUAUUUAUGCAGAGCAGGAUGCCGUUCCCAUUUCAUUCCACAGAAGAAAACCCCACUCUGGCCGUCCAAAUAUCUUUGGAAACUAACAUUUCUGCAAGACAAGUAAGUUGCUUUUUGCAGAAUUCAUAUAUACUACUGGCUUCUGGCUUCGAGUUUGCAAAAAAAGUCAACUUCUGAUGUCGAACUUUUGCCGUCGAACCUGAGCCCGAGCCCUCUUCAUUAAACCGAUAUCGCUGUCUAUUGACUUUCUUUUUAUUGUAGUGUACUCAAGCUCAGAAGACUAUUUUUUGCGUCAAUUUAAGAUACCCAACGACGGUCAACGGCAGAUAUCACAGACCAUACACAAAUGACACUAAAAUAUGAUAAUGUUCUGUAUACUACGUGGAACCCGAGGCACCCAGCCAUAAUAUUGUGCACUUUAUGGAAACGGACGAGGAUUGCAAUACUUCAUCAUUUUAUUUUGGAGGCGAACAACUUCUGCAAUUGCUUACGCUACCACAAGAAAUCUAAUGCAAGAAAUCCCCCAAGUUCAUCAGUUCACUUUUCUGGUAUAAAAUAUAGUAGAGGAAGGGGAUUGAAAACGAGAACGAAAUCACAUGAACGAGAUCACAUGAACUCGCGUUUGACGGAAGCAGCAUGGCAUGGCAGGGCAGGAAGAAGUACACAGGAAGUAUAAAGAUUUACGUGUUGCUAGUACGUGUUGCUAGGAAGAAUGGUGUAUCAAGUUCUCUACUCUUGAAAUGUCUCUUACAAGGGGAUUCCUUCAAAAUAUCCACUCCUGCUGCAGCAAGUACACUUAAGAAGCAAUAAGAUUGCUGAGAAGCUGGUUCCUGCCAAUCUCAAGUUUUUCAAAGGGACUGCUUCAGAAAGUGCUUCCAGUCCACAGCCAAAACAGAGAGAGAAAAUGUGGACGACCUACCACACUGUGCGAACAUCCAAGAUUUACCAUGAAAUCUGGGCUUCCCUGCUAAAGUGUGUUCUAUCGGCACCAUAAUUUAAUGUUCAAAGAGCUAACGUGCAAUCCACGGCAAGACCCAAGUACACUCUACCUCAGAAGAGUGCUGCAGGCUAUAUUCCACGAGAAAAACUUCGAAAAUCAACUGAAAAAUGCUACUUUGUAGUGAGCAUUGGACGAGAGUGAGCAUGAAUCGCAGAAGUGGGUGGAGUUAAUCAAGGUGGAGUUAAUCAACAGAGGUGGUGUCACCAAUAACUUAACUUAUGAACUGUUUGUUGCAAUGGAAUUGAGAAAACAUGUUAAGCACCUAAUGUUAAAAAAAAUGAGGAUGUUAAUUUUCUGUGGUGUACAGACUGGGUGUACAGACUGGCAGUGGUGUACAGACUGGCCCUGUUAAGAAUAAUUGUUAAGAAUAAUUUUGUCGAAGAUUGGGUAAAAAUUCGUGGAUUAAUUUUCAUUGGCAAGUGCUUGGGUUGAAAAGUUCAAAGUUACUCGGAAACAGACUACACCCAGAAGCAGUUAAUUUUUAAACCGAAAGCGAAGUCAGACUGCCAGCAGCCAACUCCUGAAGAUGCCUCUGACUCAGAUUAACGAGGUUCAAUUGUUAUGUUAUUCAAUUGUUAUGUUAUGUCUCAUCAUCAUCCAUCAUCAUCAUAAUCAUCAAAACAGUAGUUGCAAUUAAAUAAUGAGUCAGCAUGUUUAACGGUUCAUGAAUGUUCUCGAACUUUUACCUCUACAGUCGAGUUAAUGACUCGUAGGGCUUGGGUGUUCUUCGUAUCUUGACAGAUUCUUUGGCAUCUUGAGUACGAGUUCAAUAAACGACUUGCCUGCAAAAGAUGAAUGUUAAUGGAGGAUGCCGGCUGACAUUUCUAGCGAAGUACCACUACACAAUACCCUAGCAUUGAGUAACGUUUGCUUCUCAUUGUGAUGUCAAUUUCGCAAGGAGCCUACAUUUUUCUCAUCAAGCGUUGUAGACUAUCUGGAACAGCAGCUGCUGUUAAAGCAUGCUGUGAUAUGUGACAGGCUGUAUAAUCCCAAAGCGCUGUCUAAGCAGUUAACACUGCUAUAUGCACACUAAGCAUAAUUAUCGGCUCUAUCAAUUGGUCAGAGCCUGUCACAUAAUUAUCUUUUAUUAUCUUUUCCGUUUUUCAAAUAUCGAAAACACACAAUAGGCACACACAAGUUAGGGCAUAUAAACAAGACCCGCCCCCGCCAAGCAGGUCGCCGGUCAGAGCACACAUACAUAAAAUGUUGGUGUGACUCCUUGGCCUCAGUACAGUCAUAGAUAAACACACUAUAGAUAAACACACUAUUAGCAAAACACUAUUAGCAAACACUAUUAGCUUUUCUUUCCCUGGCAACAAAUCGCCGGAUUGAGCACUAUCACUGAGAGGAAUCGUAGAUCUCGGAUACUGUACCUUGCUGAUCCCGCACAACCUUUUACAUUCACUUGACUAAAAAUCAAAAAUGACAUUUCAUUCUGUGGGUUUUAUAAUGGAAAUGUGGAUGACACUUUCGGUACAAGAUAGCAGCUUCAACAGCUAUCACCGAUUCACCUUUCAUUUUAUAAUCACACAAAAAAAACAUAUACGGUCUGGCGGUGGCCGAGAUGUUCGCUGUCUAGAUCUGCAAAGAAAUGCAAAGAAAUCAAAAUGUACUCAAGCGUUCUUAGAGAAUAAGCUCUACUAUCAAAGGUGUCACAUGGAUUCUACUCCUCCAU